rnacentral:rRNA from 1 species
CGGGACACGUGGUAUCCUGUCUGAAUAUGGGGGGACCAUCCUCCAAGGCUAAAUACUCCUGACUGACCGAUAGUGAACCAGUACCGUGAGGGAAAGGCGAAAAGAACCCCGGCGAGGGGAGUGAAAAAGAACCUGAAACCGUGUACGUACAAGCAGUGGGAGCACCCUUUGGGGUGUGACUGCGUACCUUUUGUAUAAUGGGUCAGCGACUUAUAUUCUGUAGCAAGGUUAACCGAAUAGGGGAGCCGGAGGGAAACCGAGUCUUAAUUGGGCGUUAAGUUGCAGGGUAUAGACCCGAAACCCGGUGAUCUAGCCAUGGGCAGGUUGAAGGUUGGGUAACACUAACUGGAGGACCGAACCGACUAAUGUUGAAAAAUUAGCGGAUGACCUGUGGCUGGGGGUGAAAGGCCAAUCAAACCGGGAGAUAGCUGGUUCUCCCCGAAAGCUAUUUAGGUAGCGCCUCGUGAAUUCAUCUCCGGGGGUAGAGCACUGUUUCGGCUAGGGGGCCAUCCCGGCUUACCAACCCGAUGCAAACUGCGAAUACCGGAGAAUGUUAUCACGGGAGACACACGGCGGGUGCUAACGUCCGUCGUGAAGAGGGAAACAACCCAGACCGCCAGCUAAGGUCCCAAAGUCAUGGUUAAGUGGGAAACGAUGUGGGAAGGCCCAGACAGCCAGGAUGUUGGCUUAGAAGCAGCCAUCAUUUAAAGAAAGCGUAAUAGCUCACUGGUCGAGUCGGCCUGCGCGGAAGAUGUAACGGGGCUAAACCAUGCACCGAAGCUGCGGCAGCGACGCUGAUGCGUUGUUGGGUAGGGGAGCGUUCUGUAAGCCUGCGAAGGUGGCCUGUGAGGGUUGCUGGAGGUAUCAGAAGUGCGAAUGCUGACAUAAGUAACGAUAAAGCGGGUGAAAAGCCCGCUCGCCGGAAGACCAAGGGUUCCUGUCCAACGUUAAUCGGGGCAGGGUGAGUCGACCCCUAAGGCGAGGCCGAAAGGCGUAGUCGAUGGGAAACGGGUUAAUAUUCCCGUACUUGGUGUUACUGCGAAGGGGGGACGGAGAAGGCUAUGUUGGCCGGGCGACGGUU